rnacentral:sRNA from 2 species
CCAAUGGAUGGCUAGGGUUCCGGCUGUAAAUAAACAGUGACUGGUCCGAGAGCCAUCGACCUUCUAAGUGGUAGCCAAUUUGCAUAUUGGUAAGAGGGUUACACGGCGGGAUAAAAGCCCGGGAGGA